rnacentral:misc_RNA from 1 species
GAUGAAGAACGUAGCGAAAUGCGAUAACUAAUGUGAAUUGCAGAAUUCCGUGAAUCAUCGAGUCUUUGAACGCACAUUGCGCCCCCUGGUAUUCCGGGGGGCAUGCCUGUCCGAGCGCCAUUGCUGCCCAUCAAGCACGGCUUGUGUGUUGGGUCCCGUCCCCCUCUCCCGGGGGACGGACCCGAAAGGCAGCGGCGGCACCGCGUCCGGUCCUCGAGCGUAUGGGGCUUUGUCACCCGCUCUUGUAGGCCCGGCCGGCGCUUGCCGACACCCAACCAUUUUUUUCAGGUUGACCUCGGAUCAGGUAGGGAUACCCGCUGAACUUAAGCAUAUCAAUAAGCGGAGGA